UACGUAGGUGACAAGCGUUGUCCGGAUUUACUGGGCGUAAAGAGCGCGCAGGCGGUCGUUUAAGUCGAGUGUGAAAGCCCCCGGCUCAACUGGGGAGGGUCAUUCGAUACUGAUCGACUCGAAGGCAGGAGAGGGAAGUGGAAUUCCCGGUGUAGUGGUGAAAUGCGUAGAUAUCGGGAGGAACACCAGUGGCGAAGGCGACUUCCUGGCCUGUUCUUGACGCUGAGGCGCGAAAGCUAGGGGAGCAAACGGG
rnacentral:rRNA from 1 species